GUCGCAUUGACGAUUGGGCAGGGUCCUGCGUAAGGGAGCACACGACCCUGGAAGUAGCGAGCAACCGGAUUGGCGGUUUCCUUCGCAAACGUCUUGCCUUCUGGGGCCUGGCAAUUGGUCUUUCCAAGUGUCGGAAGCGACGGGGAUAUGGUCUGGAAACAUCUGGUUUUGAACAUCUGGUAUUGAAGCGCUGGGAGGCAAAACGUCUGCCCCGCGCGCCCAUGCGGCGAGUGUCGGUCCGUGCCCCUGCUCAAGGACAGCUCGGGCCACGUGCGCCCCGGUCCCCAGAAGGCCUGGCUCCGGACUGUGCUGCCCUGGGGCGUCACUGGGCAAGGAGAGCAGUGGGUCGGCGUCGAGGGGAGGGGACCUGGGCUUCGGAGCGGUUGCUCCGGGUGGGCACUGGCCGCGCAACCCCUCUCCCGCGCAGAGACGCUAGCUCCACCGUGAGCGGGAACGGCCCUUGGGCGGGUUGUAGCGUUGGCUCCAGAUUCCCUGGGUCUCGCGCACUGAGAGCCUGAGCCGCCUGAGGGAGGCAAAGCGCCCUGGAGCCGCGUCCCCUGCCUUGCAAGUUAGUUCUCCAACACGCGAAAAGGGUAGAGAGAACUGAUGCGGUGACAGAAGCAUUGGGUGAAGUUCACUUGGCACCACCCAAUUUCUAAUUCAGCCAUAUUUUUCAUAGUUCUACAAACAAACGUCCAGCUGGGUCUGGGUGCUGUAAUCCCUGCACUUUGGGAGGCCCAGGCGAGAGGCUGUAUUGAAGCCAAGAGUUUGAGACCAGCCUGGGCAAAACAGCAAGACUCCAUCUCUACAAAAGUUUAAAAAAUUAUGUAGAUAUGAUGGUGUGUGCUGCUAGUCCCAACUACUUGGGAAGCUAAGACGAGAGGAUCGCUUGAGGCCAGGAAUUUGAGACCAGCCUGGACUCCAUGUAUAGAAAUAUCAGUGAAGUCUUGAUCGCCUGGCUUCAAGUGAACCUCUGGAGAGACAGGACUAGCUGGAUUUUCUAGGCCAACUAAGAAUCCCUAAGCCUAGCUGGGAAGGUGACUACAUCCACCUUUAAACAUGGGGCUGGCAACUUAGCUCACACCCAACCAAUAAGGUAGUAAAGAGAGCUCACUAAAAUGCUAAUUAGGCAAAAACAGGAGGUAAAGAAAUAGCCAAUCAUCUAUUGCCUGAGAGCACAGAGGAAGGGACAAUGAUCGGGAUAUAAACCCAGGCAUUCAAGCCAGCAAUGGCUACCCUCUUUGGGUCCCCUCCGUUUGUAUGGGAGCUCUGUUUUCAUGCUAUUUUAAAGUCUUGCAACUGCACACUCUUCUGAUCCAUGUUUGUUACAGCUUGAGCUGAGCUUUUGCUCACCAUCCAGCAAUGCUCUUUGCCACCAUCACAGACCCGCCACUGACUUCCAUCCCUCUGGAUCCAGCAGGGUGUCAGCUGUGCUCUUGAUCCAGUGAGGCACCUGUUGCCACUCCCAGUUGGGCUAAAGGCUCACCAUUGUUCCUGCAAGGCUAAGUGCGCGGGUUUGUCUAGUUGAGCUGAACUAGUUGAGCUGGGUUCCACAGUUCUCUUCUGUGACCCAUGACUUCUAAUAGAGCUGUAACACUCACAGCAUGGCCCGAGAUUCCUACUUGGAAUGCAUGAGGCCAAGAACCCCAGGUCAGAGUAGAAGAGGCUCACCACCAUCUUGGAAGUGGCCCCCACCAUCUUGGGAGCUCUAGAAGCAAGUCCCCCUGGCAACCUUUUGGCAACCACAAAGGGACCUCCAAAGCAAAUCGAAGCUGUAAAACUACGAAUCAUUCUUCAGAUGGAGCCACAGAUUCAGUCCAUGACUAAGAUCUACCACAGACCCCUGGACCAGCCUGCUAGCCCAUGCUCCGACAUUGAUGACAUCAAAGGCACCCCUCACAGGGAAAUCUCAACUCCACAACCCCUACUACAAUACAAUUCAGCAGGAAACAAAGUGAUCAUUGGCCAACCUCCCCAACAGCACUUGGGAUUUCCUGUCGAGAAGGGGGACUGAGAAGUAGAACUAACUGGAUUUCCUAGGUCGACUAAGAAUCCCUAAGCCUAGCUGUGAAGGUGACCGCAUCCACCUUUAAACACAGGGCUUGCAACUUAGCUCACACCCAACCAUUCAAGUAGAAAAGAGAGCUCACUAAAAUGAUAAUUAGGUAAAAACAGGAGGUAAAGAAAUAGCCAAUCAUCUAUCACCUAAGAACACAGUGGGAGGGACAAUGAUGGGAUAUGCACCCAGGCAUUGGAGCCAGCAAUGGAUCCCCUCCUUUUGUAUGGGAGCUCUGUAUUCACGCUAUUAUAAAGUCUUACAUCUGCACAUUCUUCUGGUCCAUGUUUGUUAUGGCUCAAGCUGAGCUUUUGCUCUCUGUCCACUCCUGCUCUUUGCUGCCAUUGCAGACCCACCACUGACUUACACCCCUCCAGAUCCAGCAGGGUGUCAGCUGUGCUCCUCAUCCAGUGAGGCACCUAUUGCUGCUCCUGAUUGGACUAAAGGCUUGCCAUUGUUCCUGCAUGGCUAAGUGCCUGGGUUUGUCCUAAUUGAGCUGAACACUAGUCCCUGGGUUCCACAGUUCUCUUCUGUGACCCACGACUUCUAAUAGAGCUAUAACACUCACUGCAUGGCCCAAGAUUCCAUUCCUUGGAAUCCGUGAGGCCAAGAACCCCAGAUCAGAGAAGAAGAGGCUUGCCACCAUCUUGGAAGUGACACAAGAUGCCAUCUGGGGAGCUCUAGGAGCAAGGACCCCUUGGUAGCACUUCCAGCUCAGCCUCCCAAAUCACGCUAUUACAAGCAUGAGCCACUCUUUGUGGCCGCCACCUACUUUUUGAACUCCAAUUGUAUUAAACACCAUAAUAGACACUUUUGUCUGUUAUAUUUCAUGGAUCAUAAACUUUUUUAUGUAUAAUUUUACCUUUUAUUUUAGAUUCGGGUGGUACAAAUGCAGGUGUUUUACAUGGGUAUAUCAUGUGACACCAAGGUUUGGAAUACAGAUGAUCCCAUCACCCAAGUGCUGAGCAUAGAAUCCAACUGUUAGUUUUUCAGCCUUGCCCCCUCCAUCUCUCCACACUCUAAUAUUCCCUAAUAUCUACUGUUCCUAAAUUUAUGUCGAUGUAUAUAUUAUAUUUCUUAGAGUUCCCUGAAUAAUGGUCAGGGAAGGUAAUGUGAAUGAUGCAAAGAUGAUUAUGAAUAAAAUAUUCAGUUUUCUGGAGUGAGCAGGACACUUUUUCAUGCAAAAUUCCAUUUGAAUCCUCCACCUCCAGCCAGCGCGGUGUAGGGAGAGGAAGAGAGACAGACCUAUUAAAAGUUAUAUUUGUUCUCUUGCAGUCUUGUGACUUACUUCUUAAUGAAAACCCUUAUUGUUUUAUAAGAAAAGGAGAAUGAAUGCAGUGUUUGAGAUGGAGUUAUCUAGAAUUUUUAGAAGCAUAAACAGACAUUGAAAAAUUAUAGAAAACAAAGGCAGAAAAGCAGAAAAGACAUAGUAGGUCAGAUGGUAUUUUAGGCAAAUACACCAUAAACUGGCCACCCAGGUCUGCAUCUCUAGGGCUUUCCCAAAGAGGAGCAAAGCAGUUUAUAUUCUAUUAUUAUCACCACCAUCACCUUUAUUUCCCCCCUUACAUGAUGGAUGUCAAUAUCAUGAUCAUUCUCGUUGUCUGUAUAACCGUCAUCAUCAUCAUUAAUACCUCAUAAAUUUUUUCAUGUUAUUUUUAACAUAGUUAGAAAGAAAGAGAUUUUGGGCCUCCCAAAUCACUAAGCUAAAAGGAAAAGUCAAGCUGGAAACUGCUCAGGGCAAACCUGCCUUCCAUUCUAUGCAAAGUCACCGUCUGUUCACUAAGACAGAUGUAUAUUCUGAUUGCUUCUUUUGGAAAGACUUAUCAGAAACUCAAAUGAAUGCAACCAUUUUUCUCUCAGCUACUUGUGACCUGGAAGCCAGUUCCCUGCUUCUGUUGUCCCCAUCUUUCUGGAAGAAGCUAAUAUACUUCUUACAUAUAUUGAUUGAUGUCUCAUAUCUCUCUACAAUGUAUAAAACUAAGCUGUUCCCCUACCAACUUGGGCACAUGUCAUCAGGACUUCCUGAGGUUGUGUCAUGGAUGUACGUCCUAAAUCUUGGCAAAAUAAACUUUCUAAAUUAAACCAGACCCAUCUCAAAUUUUGGCAGCUCACAAUAGCACAUAAACAACACACCUUCCCGUUCCCCAAAAUAUUAGCGCAGGAUAAAAAUCUAAGAGUAUUUCAUAGCAACUGAUAGUUUGACCAAAAAAAAAAAAAGUUUUCUUUUCCCAAAAUAAAGUUCUGUGGCUUCUGUCAGGGAAAGUUUUUUGUUUGCUUAUUUGUGGGUUUUUUGUUUAGUUUGGUUUCGUCUUUUGUUUGUGGCUUUGGUGGUUUGUGGUUGGGUUUCUUUCUGGCUUAAACAUUUCUUGGUGAACAAAUGUUUAUGUCUUCAGGUCUGUAGACUUAGAUAACUAUCUUAAUCUGAGAAAUCUAAAGUUUUGAAUUGUUCUGUGAAUACCAGUGAAGGAAUCCACCUUCCCUCUGAAACCAUAUUCACAAGGCCUAACUUGAGGAUGCUAGAACCAUUUUCAACAACAAAGACACCACAUUCAUGCUUCCAUGGCAUACUGCAUGUCCACUUCAAGAUAGCACCUUUGUAUACAUUUGAUUAUUCCCCUUACACCCAUCUUACUUUGUAGUGUCUUCUGAAUGAUGAACAACCCAAGACUUAUAUGGUCAGAACUGAGAUCUGAGAUUGUCAGAACAAAGUGUCCUACUGUUUUUUUUCUGCUUGGAAUGUUAUUCCACAAUAUUCUACAAUAUUCAGUGCCAUGCAAUUGAAUGUGAAAUAUUCAAUAAAUAUUCAAUAUUCAAAAACAUAUUCAAUGCUAUUCAAAA
rnacentral:lncRNA from 1 species